rnacentral:rRNA from 1 species
UCGCCUACGGGUCACAUUGAAAACACUGGUUCUCGUCCGAUCACCGAAGUUAAGCAAUGUCAGGCUUGAUCAGUACUUGGGAGGGUGACCACCAAGGAACACUAGGUACUGUAGGCU